GAUGAACGCUGGCGGCGUGCCUAAUACAUGCAAGUCGAGCGAACAGAUGAGGAUCUUGCUCCUCUGACGUUAGCGGCGGACGGGUGAGUAACACGUGGAUAACCUACCUAUAAGACUGGGAUAACUUCGGGAAACCGGAUCUAAUACCGGAUGAGAUAUUGAACCGUGUGGUUCAAUAGUGAAAGACGGUUUUGCGGUCACGUAUAGAUGGAUCUGCGCGGCAUUAGCUAGUUGGUAAGGUAACGGCUUACCAAGGCAACGAUGCGUAUCCGACCUGAGAGGCUGAUCGGCCACCCUGGAGCUGGACCACGGUCCAGACUCCUGCGGGAGGGAGCAGACGGGAACCUUCCGCAAUGGGCGGAAACAUGACGGAGCAACGCCGCGUGAGUGAUGAAGAUCUCGGGAUCGUAAAGCUCUGUUAUUAGGGAUGAACAAAUGUGUAAGUAACUAUGGCCGUAUUGACGGUAACUAGUAAGAAAGCCACGGCUAACUACGUG
rnacentral:rRNA from 1 species